CACUAAGAUAACGACUCCAAGCAUAAUCAAAACUAGCAUAGAUGUAGUUGAUUAUCAUAGAAUUAAAGUAAUAAAUUGGCAUGCUUAGUCUCUUGAUCUUAAUUCCAUUGAAAAUCUUAGGAAGCACUUCAAAUGCUAGCUCAAAACUUGGAAGAUAAAACCAAAGAGAGUUUGGAAAUUAUGGAAAGGAAUAGCUAUAGAAUGGAAUAAAAUUGAAGCAAUUUUGUACUAAAAGUUAAUAGAAAGUAUGUGUAGGAGAUUGGAAGCAGUUAUCAAGGCUAAAAGAGGUCCUAUAAAGUACUGAUAUGUAAUUGGAUACUACACUUA
rnacentral:lncRNA from 1 species